CAAAGAUUAGCCAUGCAUGUCUAAGUACAAACUAUAUUAAAGUGAAACCGCGAAAGGCUCAUUAAAUCAGUUAUGGUUCCUUAGAUCGUACCACAAUUACUUGGAUAACUGUGGUAAUUCUAGAGCUAAUACAUGCAAACAGAGCUCUGACCGGAGACGGAAGGAGUGCUUUUAUUAGAUCAAAACCAAUCGGCUUCAGUAGCAUUCCGGUGUUAUUGUUAGUCGCUCAAUAUAUGGUGAAUCUGAAUAACUUUAUGCUGAUCGCAUGGUCUUGUACCGGCGACGCAUCUUUCAAAUGUCUGCCUUAUCAACUGUCGAUGGUAGGAUCUGCGCCUACCAUGGUUGUAACGGGUAACGGGGAAUCAGGGUUCGAUUCCGGAGAGGGAGCCUGAGAAACGGCUACCACAUCCAAGGAAGGCAGCAGGCGCGCAAAUUACCCACUCCCGGCACGGGGAGGUAGUGACGAAAAAUAACGAUACGGGACUCAUCCGAGGCCCCGUAAUCGGAAUGAGUACACUUUAAAUCCUUUAACGAGGACCAAUUGGAGGGCAAGUCUGGUGCCAGCAGCCGCGGUAAUUCCAGCUCCAAUAGCGUAUAUUAAAGUUGUUGCGGUUAAAAAGCUCGUAGUUGAAUUUGUGUUCCGCACUGUCGGUUCACCGCCCGCGGUGCUAACUGGCAUGUUUGCGGAACGUCCUGCCGGUGGAUGUUCAGUAAGUGGUCUCUGAUUAUUUACACAUCCGACUUAUGAAUCCUGUCGCGGUGCUCUUAACUGAGUGUCGAGGCGGGCCGGCACGUUUACUUUGAACAAAUUAGAGUGCUCAAAGCAGGCUAACUAAUGCCUGAAUAAUUAGUGCAUGGAAUAAUGGAACAGGACCUUGGUUCUAUUUUGUUGGUUUUCGGAACCCCAAGGUAAUGAUUAAUAGGGACAGAUGGGGGCAUUCGUAUUGCGACGUUAGAGGUGAAAUUCUUGGAUCG
rnacentral:rRNA from 1 species